GCUUCGCUUUUUUCUAUGUUGAACAAAGAGCAUUGCCAAUAGGGCAUGUCGGUUUCAACAGGAAACAUGGCGUCCGCUCCAUACACCAUGGUGGAAGGAGUCUUCUUGACGGUUAAAUGAGGGGUUGUACGAUAUUACCAUAUUUUUUUUGUGAUUUUUCCAACCCAAAGUCCUUUGGCAUCAUCUAGCUUCUUUUUUUAUCCCCUUUAAUAUCACUUUGUCUGUUGAUUUUGCUAGCUCGUUGGCCUGUUUAUGGACAAUAUAAAUAAAUUAUGUUUGCACUCCC
rnacentral:lncRNA from 1 species